CGCAGAGCUCAGCUGCGGUGCCCACUACAGUACAAAUUAAAAGCUAGUGUUUUUUACUGUUAUUUUGACAGCACACCUUAUAAAUUUUACAUGUAUCCUGACAGUCUGCAUCAUGGAACCACUCGCAGGUUUCAGAGGUGUCAGGAUCUGACAUAGCAGGCACACUGGCAGUCACUUUCUCACACUUCAUCUAAAGAGCCUACUUAUCUCUAAGAGCCUGUGGUAGGAUCUGCCAGCCUCUGGUGCCUCACAGACUCUGAAGGAUCCUCAGUUGAGCUACUCUGAGGCUACUAGAAGUAACCUGAGAGUUUCCUCACUGGACUAACGAGUGCCACGAGAUGAAUCUCCUUUUCACCCAAUAAAAGUCAGUUGCUUUAGUGCAUUUCUAGAAUCCUCCUUAACAUUUGCAAAACAGUAAGUGCAUUUCUCGAAACAGAUUGUACAAACAGCGCCACACAGUGGAUUACGUGCAAAAGCCUGUACCCUGCUCAAAUUCCUUAGUCUGUCUCUCAAAAGUAAAUCUUUAUGUCAGUGAACAUGUCAGUGCCAUCAGAAUGACAAGUCCUUGUGAUAUUGUUAAGAAACAAGAUAGUCAAAAUGUUUGGCCAUGUUGUCAAUGUC